rnacentral:rRNA from 1 species
GACGAACGCUGGCGGCGUGCUUAACACAUGCAAGUCGAACGGAAAGGCCCUGCUUUUGUGGGGUGCUCGAGUGGCGAACGGGUGAGUAACACGUGAGUAACCUGCCCUUGACUUUGGGAUAACUUCAGGAAACUGGGGCUAAUACCGGAUAGGAGCUCCUGCUGCAUGGUGGGGGUUGGAAAGUUUCGGCGGUUGGGGAUGGACUCGCGGCUUAUCAGCUUGUUGGUGGGGUAGUGGCUUACCAAGGCUUUGACGGGUAGCCGGCCUGAGAGGGUGACCGGCCACAUUGGGACUGAGAUACGGCCCAGACUCCUGCGGGAGGCAGCAGUGGGGAAUAUUGCACAAUGGGCGGAAGCCUGAUGCAGCAACGCCGCGUGCGGGAUGAUGGCCUUCGGGUUGUAAACCGCUUUCGCCUGUGACGAAGCGUGAGUGACGGUAAUGGGUAAAGAAGCACCGGCUAGCUACGUG